rnacentral:rRNA from 1 species
GUGGGGAAUAUUGCACAAUGGGGGAAACCCUGAUGCAGCGACGCCGCGUGAGUGAAGAAGUAUUUCGGUAUGUAAAGCUCUAUCAGCAGGGAAGAAGAUGACGGUACCUGAGUAAGAAGCCCCGGCUAACUACGUGCCAGCAGCCGCGGUAAUACGUAGGGGGCAAGCGUUAUCCGGAUUUACUGGGUGUAAAGGGAGCGUAGACGGAUAAGCAAGUCUGAAGUGAAAGCCCGCGGCUUAACUGCGGGACUGCUUUGGAAACUGUAUAUCUGGAGUGUCGGAGAGGUAAGCGGAAUUCCCAGUGUAGCGGUGAAAUGCGUAGAUAUUGGGAAGAACACCGGUGGCGAAGGCGGCUUACUGGACGAUAACUGACGUUGAGGCUCGAAGGCGUGGGGAGCAAACAGGAUUAGAAACCCUUGUAGUCC